GACGAACGCUGGCGGCGUGCUUAACACAUGCAAGUCGAACGGAAAGGCCCUGCUUGCAGGGUAUUCGAGUGGCGCACGGGUGAGUAACACGCGUGUGUUCCGUGCUCCACUUCGGGGUAAGCCUGGGAAACAGGGUCUAUUACCGGAUAGGAGCCAUCCUUCGUGUGAUGGUUGGAAAGUAUUUUCGGUGUGGGAUGAGUCCGCGGCCUAUCAGCUUGGUGGUGGGGUAAUGGGCUACCAAGGCGGCGGCGGGUAGCCGGCCUGGGGGGGUGGACGGCCAAAAUGGGGCUGGGGAUAGGGCCAGGAUUCCAAGGGGAGGAAGAGGGGGGGAUAAUGGACAAAGGGCGGGAGCCUGGUGCAGCGACGCCGCGGGGGGGGUGACGGGCUUCGGGUUGGAAACUCGUUUCGGCAGGGGAGAAGCUUUUUGUGACGGUACCUGGAUAAGAAGCACCGGCUAACUACGUG
rnacentral:rRNA from 1 species